UACCUUGACGGGGGAGCGUUACUGGCCUUUACUGAGCGUAAAGUAUGGCUAGAUGGUUUAAGUAAUUAUAAGGUAAAUCCAAAAGCUAAUUCACUUACUUAUAAGACCUUAAUACUAGAGAUAGUUAAGAAGUUUGCGAUACCUAUAAUAUAGAGAUAAAAUAUUACGAUAUUAUCAGAGAUCCUCGGAGGCCUCGGCGGUAAACUAUUACUAUCUGACAUCGAACCAUUUAAGUACGAGUAUCGAAUAGGAUUGGAGACCCUAGUAGUUCGUACCUUGAAUCAAUGGGCAUUACAUGUAGGUCAAUUGCUACCUGUGUGUACGUUAACGCUUAAAUGCCUCGCUUGGGGAGUAAGGCUGCAAAGGUUAAACUUAAACAGAUUGGCGGGAGUUUGUUUGAACGGUGGAGCGUGUGGAUUAAUUCGACAAUCCGCGCCAAAUCUUACCAACGUAUUGAGGAUUUUUAUUGUAUUGUCUAGAGGCAAAUAACGUUAAAAUUCUAAUUGGUACUGCAUGGCUGUCGUCAGCUCGUGUUGUAGAAUGUUCUAUUCAUUUACUCAACGAACGUAACCUUCAGCGUAAAUCUCAAAUAAAUUGUUUGUUAAAGAUACUUUUAAAUUAAUUUUAAUUUAAAUGCUUAAUUAAAAAUUUACUUAGUUUACGUAUUAAACUGCAAAGCUAAUAAUCAAAAUUUUUCAUAAUGUUAUAUUCUUAAAGUUCAAAAACUUUAAAUCAAAUAACAAUGUUAAAUAAUUGGCUUUGAGGAAGAGGAGGAGAAGUCAAGUCAUUAUGGUCUAUAUAUGUUGGGCUUCACAUGCGCUACAAGGGUAGAAACAAAGAGAGGCGAUAGUGCAAACUAAAGCUAAACUCUAAAAACUAUCAAAGUUCGGAUUGUAGACUGAAACUCGUCUACAUGAAGUCGGAAUCGUUAGUAAUCGUGAAUCACCACGUCACGGUGAAUGAUCUGUCAAACUU
rnacentral:rRNA from 1 species